rnacentral:lncRNA from 1 species
AAGUCUCGAGCAAGGUUGUGAAAGGGCUGAAACAGAAAACUGCCGAAGUUAGUCGUGAAGGAGGAUCAAUCGUAAAUUCGGCAAGUAUCGGUGUAGAUUCUGCACAUGGAAGAGUUGGAUAUGCAGUAGUAGGAUUAUAUAGUUUGGGACAGACCUGCUUCUUUAAUUCGGUUAUUCAAAAUCUGCUAGCUAUAGAUAGCUUGCGGGUUUAUUUUUGCAAAGUAGAGAAAGACGUGGGUCCCGUAAGUGGUGCUUUGAGAAAGAUCUUCCUUCAAACCAAUAUUGGUACCGGCUUGAGAGAACCUAUUGUACCUAGGUCUUUAUUCGAGUGUUUAUGUAUCAAGGCUCCACAGUUCAGAGAAAAUCAACAAGAUGAUAGCCACGAGUUGCUUAGAUGCUUGCUCGAUCUUCUGUCACACGAAGAAAUGCAGCCAAGAAAGCACUCCAAAUUUUCUCAGGCUCCGAUCCCGGGUCCCACAUUUGUGAAUGACUUGUUCGGCGGCAGAAUUUCUAGUACCAUUACUUGUACGAAAUGUCAGCACUCCUCAACAUGUUACGAAGCAUAUCUCGAUCUUUCGUUGACUGUUCCGGCGAAGAGGGACCAGCUUGUCGUAUUAUUGGUUGAUGGGUGUUUGGCCCUUUUUGUUGAGCCCGAGAUUCUUUCGAACGAUAACGGAUGGCAUUGUGAGAAUUGUUCGAGAGUUAUGCGGGAACAAAGGGUGGUUGACUCCGAAAAUUUGAAAGUGACAACAGAUGCAACCAAAAGGUUACUCAUCGACAUCGCUCCUCCUAUACUGACAAUUCAUCUAAAGAGAUUCAGCAAAGAUGCUAGGGGCUUCUCAGUAAAUUGAAUGACGAUGUGAGUUUCCGAGAGAUGAUUGAUCUCGAACCGUACAUGGAUACCAGGUUAGGUUUUGACCUCUUAUAGAGUUUUUUAAACCGAUUAAAUAAUACGUGUUUUUGUUCUUUUUCCUGUAACUAGUAAAUGCAAUAUGCAACGUAAGUGAUUCUUAGGGUAAAUUACAACACCCCUAAAGUAUGGUUAAAUUACAAAAAAACCUCUUAUAUUUGGGUAAUUACAACCACUCCCCUCAACUAUGAAUCUUCUUACACGUCCGCUCUUAUGGUGUCAAAUUCAACAUAAUUAUCUAGAUUCUGCGAAAUAUUCUCUAGUUUGUACACAUUUUGUGCAAAUAUGCAGAAUCUAUUUAUCGUAUUUAUUUUACAAUAUCUAUUUCUUCUCAAGUUAUUCCAAUAAUUAUUUAUCAUUGUCUUGAAUAUCAUGUGUAGUGUUUUUUUUUCUUUUUAAUUAGAACCUUUUCGAUUUUAUGAUUACUUUCAUUUCCAGUUGUCUCAUUUACUCUUGAUUGUUUAUUAUAUUUUUUUUAUUUUUAAAACAAAUGACAAAUAAAUAUUAAUGAAAAACUAAACAUAAAUGAAAAAUUGGAUGGAGACACGAUCAUUGUCGUGAACCAACGGCUCACGACGUGAACCAACGAGGUUCACAAUUCAAAAAUACAAGACCAUUAACCGACCCAAGUUACGAGUUUGAUUAUGACUCUAAAAUGCAAUUUCACAAAUCGAGUGUUGGUUCAACCAAAGAUUACCGACCGAUGUAAGCUGUUGUGGUUACAAUUUUUCAAUGCAUCAGAUAUUAUUAAUUAUUGUAUUUAAUAUGCAUUAAUGAACUAUUUAAUUAUUAUUUAUUUGACUUAAUUGAGCUUGAAGUUUUAAUUAUUUUACGGGCAUUUUUGUCCAUACAUAAAAUGGAAGAAACCAUCUAGCAUUCACACUUUUAUAUAUAGUAUAGAUUUGAUUGGUGAGGCAUGACAAAAAUAGUGGGACUAUCAUUUUUUUUUUAAAUCUAAUAUAUUUCAGUUUUAGAGAAAACAUUUUUCCAUCGUAACAUUUAUGGAGGGAAAUUACAAGAAUUAUUGAGGGAUAACAACUAGAAGAUAAAAAAAGAAAAAAGGUAAAUCCUUUAGGCCCAUGUUGUUGUUUGGAUAUAGAGAUUUGAUGAUGGAUUUAAAAUCCCGACCCCCUCGUUUUUAGUUAUAAAUUGAGUUAAUUGAUGUGGAUUUUCAAACUGACUUCGGGUUUUGGAAAUCGACUAAAUUGGUUUCAAUCUUGCAGGUGCAGUGAGAGAGUGAGGUUUACAUAUCGUCUAGUGGGAGUGGUGGAGCAUCGCGGAGUAAUGGAAGGUGGCCACUACAUUGCAUAUGUGAGAGGUACAAAAGAUAACGGAGAUUGCGUUUGGUAUUGCACCAAUGAUAUUCGUAUUCGUGAGGUUUCUUUGGAAAAGGUUCUGUGUUCCAAAGCCUGUAUCUUGUUCGAUGAAAGAACCCGAAGAUCAUCAGAUUAUCAUGUCCACUAACUGCAGUGUAAGUCAAAUAGCAUCUGACUUUUUUUUUUUCUUUUUUCGUCUAAAGAGUAUAUAAAUGAUAGUUUUAAUGACUGGAUUAAGAAAAUGAUAUAAGAAUCAAUAGUACGUAUACGUACCGUGUGCAUGCAGUGGAAAUACUUGUUUGACAAUGCGUACUAUUGCUUCCAGUUCCAGUAGUAGAGAUUCUCCUAGCUGCAAAUUACGGGUGAUUUUUCCGUGUUAACCUGCAUGCAUGAUCAUCAGAUCAGCACAUUUAAAAAUGAAAAUUUUCGGUGAUUUUAACGAUGUGAUGUUAAGAAUUCAAGGCGGCUUUGAGAUAUAAAUUUUCAUUUUUCGACAGGAAAUGACGUUCCAUGCUUGUGGGAAUGAUGCACAUAUUGCAAUGCUUCUUGGUGCUGCAAAAAUACUUUCAAGAGAACAAUAUUAUUAGUUGUAAUGAAAUGAAUACCAGGCAAAGCGGUGGUGGUACGAUAACUAUCGAGGCUAAUCUGUAUGUUAGUAGAAACCUCGCGGAUUAGCUUCACCGGAGAAACUUAAAACUAGAGAAUAUUUGUUUCCCUUUUUUGUCGGCCGUGAGUUUGGCCUCUAGUGACAUAUUUUUUGGUGGAUAAUGUGAGAAUUCCAGGCAGCAUUCAAACAACACUUGUUUCAAUAUUCAAAUAUUCAGGUAAGAAUUUUAUUUUUUAUAUUUCGAUUCUCGUGACGAAAAACGUCUAAAUGCGCAUUCAAACAGCAUUUGUUUCAAUAUUUGUACAGUAAUUCUUUCCUAGUUCAAGAAGACAAGAACAUCAUUUAUCAGUGUAGUCUGGAGAUGAUAUAUAAACCGAACCCGAGACCGAAACCAAAACCGAAACAUAGAACAAAAAGCAUGCAACCUGAGGAAAUCAUCUUUUUUUUUUUUUUUUUUUUUUUUGUUUAUACAGCCAAAUUAAAAACAAAUAAAAUUAAUGUGUUCACCUUUUUCUUCACUUGGCGGCCAAUCCUCCUCCUUGUAGUCAUUAAUUAGGUUACAAAGAAUCUUUUUUCAUGUAUCCAUACUAAGAAUGUUAAUAAACUUAAUAUUAUAAUAAAUAAAUAAAUAAAAUUAAUUAGUGCUAAAAAAAUUGGUUUGUUGUGUUUUGA